GGUGGCUCAGUGGUAGAGCACUUGCCUUGCAUGCAUGAUGCCCUGGGGGUUCGAUUCCUCCGCACCA
rnacentral:tRNA from 1 species